GUUGAAAACUAUCUUAUAAUAUAUGACUAAAGUUAAUGUCUAAUUACGUGUCUUCUUUCGAAAGAUUGAUGAGGACAAGGGAAAAGGUUCUUCUAUAUCUUCCAAGAAGAAUGUUUCAGAACGUUUAAAAGAAGAGGUAAGAGAUGCAAAAAUAAAAGUUCUAGCAAGCCUAAAACAAGAAACUGAUGAAGAGCGCUUGGAAUGGAAAGAGCUAUCCGCCUUGCUUAAAUCAGAAUAUCCAAAGUACACUCCAUUACUUGCCACGAUUUUGGAAGGUUUAGUUUCUAGCAGUAAUGUCAAAGACAAAAUCCAUCGUGAUGAAGAGGUACAUUUUUCUGGUGGAAGCAAAU